rnacentral:tRNA from 2 species
AAGAAGUUAGUUUAACUAAAACCUUUGAUUUCGGCUCAAAAACUUGUGGUUUAAUUCCACAACUUCUUA